rnacentral:rRNA from 1 species
CGGUGGUGCUGACGACCGGCGCACGGGUGCGUACGCGUAUGCAACCUACCUUUAGCUGGGACAUAGGCCCGAGAAAUCGGGAUUAAUAUCCCAUAAUAUCCAGAAAACGCAUGUUUUCUGGAUUAAAGUUCCGGCGGUUAAAGAUGGGCAUGCGUGGCAUUAGUUAGUUGGUGAGGUAACGGCUCACCAAGGCAAUGAUGCCUAGGGGUCCUGAGAGGGUUUUCCCCCACACUGGUACUGAGACACGGACCAGACUCCGUACNGGAGGCAGCAGUAAGGAAUAUUGGGCAAUAGGCGCAAGCCUGACCCAUUCAUGCCGCGUGCAGGAUGACGGCCCUAUGGGUUGUAAACUGCUUUUGUAUGGGAAAAAACUCCCGCACGUGUGCGGGACUGAUUGUACCAUACGAAUAAGCAUCGGCUAACUCCGUGCCAGCAGCCGCGGUAAUACGGAGGAUGCAAGCGUUAUCCGGAUUCAUUGGGUUUAAAGGGUGCGCAGGCGGAUUAGUAAGUCAGUGGUGAAAGCUCCCGGCUCAACCGGGAAAAUGCCAUUGAUACUGUUAAUCUUGAGUACAGUUGAGGUAGGCGGAAUGUAUCAUGUAGCGGUGAAAUGCAUAGAUAUGAUACAGAACACCGAUAGCGAAGGCAGCUUACCAAACUGUAACUGACGCUCAUGCACGAAAGCGUGGGGAGCAAACAGGAUUAGAUACCCUGGUAGUCCACGCUGGUAACUAUGAUCACUCGCUGUUGGCGAUACACUGUCAGCGGCUUACCGAAAGUGUUAAGUUGAUCCACCUGGGGAGUACGAUCGCAAGGUUGUAACUCAAAGGAAUUGACGUGGGCCCGCACAAGCGGAGGAGCAUGUGGUUUAAUUCGAUGAUACUCGUUUUACCUUACCCUGUGCUUAAAUGCAGAACGACCUCCCGAGAAAUCGGUACUUCAUUCGGGACGGACUGCAAGGUGCUGCAUGUUUGUCGUCAGCUCGUGCCGUGAGGUGUCGGGUUAAGUCCCAUAACGAGCGCAACCCUUAUCAUUAGUUGCCAACAGGUAAUGCUUGGGAACUCUAAUGAAACUGCCUACGCACCUAGUGAGGAAGGUGGGGAUGACGUCAAAUCAGCACGGCCCUUAUGUCCAGGGCUACACACGUGCUACAAUGGUCGGUACAGAGGGCAGCUACCUGGCAACAGGAUGCUAAUCUCGAAAGCCGGUCUCAGUUCGGAUUGGAGUCUGCAACUCGACUCCAUGAAGUUGGAUUCGCUAGUAAUCGCGC